UGAUUGCAUCCUCUGAGGGAGA
rnacentral:miRNA from 1 species